ensembl:lncRNA
CAUUUCUUCAAUAAGGCAACACAAUACUGUAUAUACAUACAAUGACUUAUAUGUAUACCAUGUUUAAAAUUUAUGUUACUUUGUCAUUCUUUACUGUCACUACCAAGUGUAAAUAAAUAGUUUAGCAAGUCAUGUAAAAGAGAGCCAGAUGCAAAAACCUCAAAGUCAAACUGUACAUCCAAAGCAACGCUCCUUUACUUCCUGUAAUAUGUUGUCGUUGCCAACCUGUUUGAGCUGAUUUCUGAACACAGCUUAAUGGUCCAUUUACUUUCUGAAAUAAAAAAAAGUGUACGGAAGCCCAGAGAGCUCAAAAUACUGCAACUUACUUUGGAGCAACUUAGGAAAAUAUUCAUCAAAUAUUCAAAUCUGACAACAGAUUUAGCAAAAAUAAUAAAAAUGAUAGCAAUUAUUCAUGCAUUAGCAUACACAGAAGCCGCUGCAAAUACAAUGAAAAUCUUUUUAAGGGUCAUUAAAUAUUGAUGAGCAUACUGUAGCUUGUUGCUUUUGAAGGUGAAAGAUGAUGUUAGUGUCAUUUAAGUUGUGUCACAGUUUAGUAUUCUGUUUAUAUCCAGGUUUCUCCGUUUAUUCUGGCGGCAUUUCAGCAUAUGGUUGUUUUCUCACAUUGGUAAAUGCUGAAAAAUCUUUUAGUAGUUUGCUUGUGUUCUUGUGUUUUUAUAAGUUGCCUCGAAUUGAACUCUUUGGCUCACCGUAACACUAACCAGUGAAAUUAACCCGUUAAUCCUUCAGCAUCAGUCGAAACCCAACGAACAAAAAACAACAAGAAAAAAUCUCAAGCUGACAUCAUAAGAAGUUGCUGGAGUUGGUGUCCUAAAUUAUGUGAGGUGCUCUCAGUGUGACGUGAGCAUGCUGAAUGUACCCCACCCACUGACGUGAAGUGAAAAUGCCACUGUUAGUUCCCAUUCUCUUCAAGACUCACAAAAUCGUACGAUCAGUUACAAAAAUAUAACUCUACUCUGCAUUAACAAAUGACACAAGUAAUUAGUUCUGGUUUAGAAGACGAAGUUUUGAACCAGAAACUAUGUGGAAAUUAGAAAAUGACAUCAAGCAACAAUACUGUAAUUAUUACCACUGUGUACAAAGCACACACAAUGCUGCAUACUUCACUAUGAUAUAUGAGCAGUACUAGAUGCCACUCUGUUUUAGUCUCCUUCUGUGCAUCUGAUUGUGUUUUCUAUCCUUUUGUUUUUCCUGCUUGCCUUUGCACUACUUGAUAAAAAGUUGGAAAUCAAAGCUCCAAAUGCUGAUUAAUUCAUGACUUAUAUGUUCACACUUUUUUACAACUCUGUAGGAUGAACUUUCCAAAUAGUUUAGAAAUAGUUCUUAAUAACUGUAUGUAUUUACUGUAUUAACAGUAUAUCAAUAAA